AGUGGUUUUCCGUUGCACAUGC
rnacentral:miRNA from 1 species